AGCCUUUUGAUUUCAAGUUUAUAAAAGGUUUGACCUGCUCACUGAGAAUUUUCUUAAAGGGCUGCAGUAUUCUGACUGUACUAAGGUAGCAUAAUCAUUUGGCCACUAAUUAUGGUCUGGAAUGAAAGGUUUUACGGGAUAAAGCUGUCUCUCUUAGAAUAUUUAGAAUUUUACUUGGAGGUGAAGAGGCCUCUAAAAAAAGGUCAGACGAGAAGACCCCAGGAGCUUGUUAUUGUUGGAGAACAUAUUUAAGAAAAUCUCGAAUGAUUGUUUGGUUGGGGCGACCCUGGGAUAUUAUUAACUCCCUGUUACAUUUUAUUUCAAAUAAAAUUAGAUGACGAUCCUUGGUUAAAAACAUUGUAUCAAGAAACAAGAGAUCAAGCUACCCUGGGGAUAACAGCAUAAUCCCCUUAUAGAGACCCCAUCGAAAAGGGGGGUUAUGACCUCGAUGUUGGACUAAGGUUACUUU
rnacentral:rRNA from 1 species